GGUGCUACCAUUUCGAGUGGUUGUGUCCUUAACAGAGGCUAGACGCACUCGGAACAUCGCUAUACCAUGGUUCUGAAGACAAGCAUAGCGGCCAUGGCCAUGUCAACUUUACUUUUGCUUGCUUUGUCAAGCAGUGCGGACGCGUACGGAUGUGACCCGUCGGCCUGCUACUCAAAAUGCAUCAGCCACGGUGCCUCUUCAGGCAGGUGUGUUUGGGGAGUAUGCCAGUGCAGAGUCCACUACAAGCGCAGCAUUGAAGAAAAUGUUGCAGAAAAUGAAGACUAGCAAGCUAUCCUUUCCGCACCAUCCCCAUGAUGAGCCAGGAAACAAUGUACCAAGACGGCAAAACCAAAACCACGUACAGGUUCUACAGGACGCUACAUUUGCGGGCUAGAGGCACAGCUGUCCCAGCUACUCUGCGCAUUGGGAAGUACGCAGUGUGCUGCAUUUCUACCACGAAGUGAUAACUAAUGUCUCUUUUGUAGUGCCCCGGGUUGGCGCAACUGUUCUGCUUCCGCUAACAAUUGGCCUGUCCGAAAAACGGGGCUCACGUGCUCUGAGCCAUGUAUCGAACGCGAAAGUGUCCAAUAGUGAUUUCAUAUUAUUGACCAAAAUCCAUUCGCAACUAACAGAACUACGAGACUAUUUGCUAUAGCACUUGCCCUAACGCCUGUCUUCUGUUCCAAGUUUUGCUUCCUGAAACCCACUUAAUAAUUUGAAGGUCAGAUACAUUGAGAAGCUUAAAAUAUCUUUCGCGUACGAAAAUUGCCCUUAUGACCUUGGCCUACGUGCAUUAUUAGAGAACAACGUUGAUCCAAUCCCGUGACACCAAAUAAACGCUACUCGAAACCGGUU